rnacentral:misc_RNA from 1 species
AAGUCGUAACAAGGUUUCCGUAGGUGAACCUGCGGAAGGAUCAUUAUUGAAUUAAUGUAGAGUUGGUUGUAGCUGGCAUUUCCUUUAAUUUGGGGAUUGCAUGUGCACACCUUCUCUUUCAUCCACACACCCCUGUGCACUUGUGAGACAGAUUGCUUUUUGGAGGGGGAACUUUAUUGGACCCUUUCUUUUUGGCUCUCUGUCUACUUAAUUAAUAUAAACUCAAUUUAUUUUAAAAUGAAUGUAAUGGAUGUAACACAUCUAAUACUAAGUUUCAACAACGGAUCUCUUGGCUCUC